AUGCAUUCAUACAAAAUUUCUCAUUAUUCUAAAUUCUAAUAGAUACUUGAAAUAUAUCAUAGUCUUAAAAUUAUUACAUGACAUAAGAAGCACUAUCUCAUUCCAUCAAACGGGCUUCAAAGUUUCAAACUAAUGAUGUUAUUAAGAACCCAUUAAUUAAAAAAUAAAAGAAAAAAGUACCUUCUCUGAAGUUUGUAUAAGCAUAUUUUGAGGGCCGUAGUUCAAAAUAAUAUAAUGGGCUUUACGUUCUCUAACAAACUUUAUUUGAAUUUCAUAGAGUUUAAGACGAAAUAAACAUCUCC
rnacentral:lncRNA from 1 species